UUAAGCAUAUCAUUAAGCGGAGGAAAAGAAACUAACAAGGAUUCCCCCAGUAACGGCGAGUGAAGCGGGAAGAGCUCAAGCUUAAAAUCUCCAUACUUGUAUGGCGAAUUGUAGUCUAUUGAGGCUGUUGUCAGCAUCGCGAUCGGGGACAAGUCCCUUGGAAAAGGGCAGCAUGGAGGGUGAUACUCCCGUCUCUGCUCCGAUUUGCGGUGUGUACGAUACGCUUUCUUUGAGUCGAGUUGUUUGGGAAUACAGCUCAAAGUAGGUGGUAAAUUCCAUCUAAAGCUAAAUAUUGGUGCGAGACCGAUAGCGAACAAGUACCGUGAGGGAAAGAUGAAAAGAACUUUGAAAAGAGAGUUAAAGAGUACCUGAAACUGUUGAAAGGGAACCGUAUCGUUUCCAGUGUUUUAUCCUGUGCAUAUUUCAUUCGCGGAGCAAUUUGCGGGUGCCCUGUGCAUGGGUGUGACGUCAGAGUCAGUUUGUAUGCUGCGGGAGAUGGUCAGUGAGGAGGUGCGUCACUUCGGUGAAAGUUAUAUCUCGCUGUCUAGUAGCCGUGGUUGAGACUGAGGUGCCUACAACAUGCCUUGGGGUUUCGUGUUGUCUCGUGUUAAUAACUGCUUUGAUAGCUUGCUAUGUCUGUGGUUUAUUGAUGCGAUUGAUGAUGCGGAUAACUUUUGCUGU
rnacentral:rRNA from 1 species